AGCCGGCACGUCUGCACGGUUAAGCGGGACAUUUCACACGUGCACGAGGGGUCUGAAUCUCAAAUGUGAGCCGCUGGAGAUCUGUGAGAACUAUCAAAAGGGAAAGUCAUUUAAGACUAAACAAUGUUUUAAAAAUAAUUGAAGAAUUUUAUGCCCUGGCUGAGUUCAUUGGCUACAUGUGGAAUUACUUUCAACUAGAACCCCAGUGUUGGGAGACAGAAAACACAAGCGUCAAGAGGAUGCGUCACCCGCGGCACCCAGUGAAGCCUCCGCCCCACCUAGCAGAGCACCAGGUUGUCUCCAAAUCCUCUCCCUUCACCAUUAACCGUGAAAUUCCCAGCACCGGAAAGGACGGCGAGAAGACCAAGGAAUGGAUGCAUCUCUGCAUCCUGAUGGCUAGAAUUUUCUUUUAUUUGGAGGUUUUCUUUUGCUGACUCUAGUUUCAAAUGCUAAUGUUACUGUAACUAAUUCCUGGCAGAUGAUGGAUUUUUUUAAAGCACAAUUAAAUUAAGGCAGACUUUUCUUUUGGUAAACUAUUUUUAGUAAAAUGUAUAGGAUUAAAAAAAAAAAAACCCAACCCAACACUAAUAACAUGCUCGAUCUGGAUGUGAAAGCACAUUGUUAGCUAAAAGCCCUUAUACAUAUUUUAUUAAUACCGUUUAAGAAAUGAACUGGCUUAUUAGUCUAAUAGAAAUUUAACCUUGUAUAAGUAAGUACCGAAUACACAGCAAGGCAGCCUAAAAAUCUAAUUUAUAGAUACUCGAGUGAAAUAUUUUAAACUAUUAAAAAUGCUUAUAUGCCUGUAGACAUACUAUUUAAUUUGCUUAAAAUACUGUACAGGGAGGCACUGCAUAAAAGGGCAGGAAUGCCAGGAUAGAGAAUCUGAAACACCCAGGCUCAAAAAAACUCAUAGAGUGAGCAUCGCCAGUUUUCAAGUCAAUUUUAAGUCAUGUAAACAACCGUGCACCCGUUCCCCAGCCUAUAUGGUGUGGUUAGGAAUUCAAGUGACUUAGCAAGGAGGAAAAAGCAGAAAGGCCUUCAUCAGAGGUCAGCUUUAAAAUGGAAAGAGUUUUAUUCGCUGUGACCUGCCCCUCAUGAUAUAAAUGGUCCUCAAGUCUCCCUCUCUCUUCUCUUUUUCCACCGAAGAGAAUUAUGAGUGAGAAAAUGCAACCCACUGGGAAGCAAAUCCUCACUGCAAACCCGGUGGUUGGAAUUCCUGACUUGAUUGAUUGCCCUGACUCUCUCUCUUCCCCUGGCAGGAGCAUCCUCACCCCUGCCCAGGACCACAGAGCCAUCUUCUCCGAGCUGCUCAGCAGACCCGCCAUCCAUUACCCCCUCCACUCAACAGCUGUUUCCUGCUUGCUCCAUGCAACAGUCUGGCUGUCCCAGGUUAACAUCUCAGGGAAAUGGACAGGUGAACCCGAGCCACAAAGGGCCGCAGCCCCAUCAGCCUUCACCGUGGUGCCAGCUCCACGGCCGCCAUCGCCACUGGAGCCACGCUGGAGGGCGAGAGUCACAAAGCCUGCAUCUUUUCUGUGCUCUCGGCACCCGGGAACCACGCAGAUAGCAUCGGGCUCCAACUGGAAAACAGGCUGCUGCCUUCCUUUCCUUCCAGGCGAUAACAUAAUGGGAACUGGAGGAUUCUUACGAGGAAGAUGAACAGCAGAAAGGCUGGUAGCUUUGCUAUUUCCAGCAGACUGGACAGCCUACACGGAGGACCGUCAGAAUGGGCAGACAUGCACAGCCAAAAUGGAAAGCUUUCCACAUCCACGCUCAGUCUGCCCUUACAAAUAAAAGCAAUUCUCAUUA